GCAUAAUCAUUUGUCUUUUAAUUGAAGUCUGGAAUGAAUGGUUGGAUGAAAAAUUUACUUUCUUUAUUUUAUAAUUAAAAAUUAAUUUCUAAAUCAAAAAGUUUAGAUUCUAUUGAAGGACGAGAAGACCCUAUAGAACUUCAUUAUUUUUGGAGGAAAUUUUAUUUUGUUUAUAUUUAAAAUUUCCUUAAAAAAUAAUUUUGUUGGGGUGACAGAAAAAAUUUAAUAACUUUUUUUAUUUAUUUCAUUUAUAUAUGAUUAUUUGAUCCUUUUUUAGGGAAAAAAGAUUAAGUUACCUUAGGGAUAACAGCGUUAUUAUUUUAAAGAGUUCUUAUCGAUAAAAUAGUUUGCGACCUCGAUGUUGGAUUAAAAUAAGUUUCAGGAGUAUAAAAUUGAAUACUAGGUCUGUUCGACCUUUAAAUUUUUACAUGAUCUGAG
rnacentral:rRNA from 1 species